AUAUCCCAUAACACUCUUAUUUUGAGACAAAGGUGAGGGUGACUGAUUCUUGUUUUUUUUGGCCCUGCCCUGGCUCGCCCUGGGGCCCAGUGUGAUCCCCAUGGCCCUACACUCAUGCGGCCAGGUCAGGAUCCUGUUCUACAGGAAACGCAACUGCAGCUCCCAUCCCAGUCCACUGCACCCAAGGGCAGCACAGACUCAGCAAAGCGGAGGGGACCGAGAGGCGCGGGCGAAGGCUGAAGAGCGAAACUGCUUUCCACGUAGCCGCUGCCCAACCUGAGUGUGUCCCAGGAGUCCCAGGUUUGCUGGAGCACAGUUCCCAGUCGGGAAUUUAAGAAUGUAUGAGGGAGGACAAAAAUAUUUGUAGUUAUGCUGCCAAAUAAUAGUGAGAGCCAGCCAGUGCCUUUCAGCCACGUCUCCUCCCAAACCCCAGGCUCCGUACCACUGAUAACGCUGCUCGCUACAGUCUAGCUGACUUCCCAGGGAAAGAGGGAUGGGAAAAAUCAAUCAUAAAUAUUUAUCACUGCCUUAGAAAGCAGAAACAUCUGCUAAAACCUGAGCAGUUUCUUCAGCUUAGGGUGUGUGGGCUUUCAGUAGGGCCCCACCUCACACCUCUGCCCUCAUAGAUCAAGUUGCAGAGGGCAUCAUAAGCGAGCAUGCCAUUCUGCCCAGGGAGGACAUGGGCCUAGGGCCACUCUGAACAGGCAAACUGCUGCCCAAGCACUGCCUGUGAUCCUGAGACACCAAGGCCAAUGACAGUGUCCAAAGUCCACUCAGGUUGGGCCUCUGACGGGAAUGGAGAUGCUAAGCACCGAGAAGGGUCAGUCCUGCUUUGUGAGCUUCUACAAAGCAGCGUGUAAACAUCUGUGUAGCGGCUAGUACUUCUGGGGCUCCGUCAGUUUCCAGGAGCGCGUACCUGAACAAUGCCAGAAAACACAGUGAAUGAUUAAGACAGCAAACCCACCAACCCGAACAGGAAGGAAAGGAAGAAUGGAGCCACUUUUUAUGCCUUAACCUUCAGCAGUCAAGGCAGAAGGAACUGGUUACUCCCUUCCUAAGUAUUUUAAGUUGCAGGGUAGAGCUUAGAGCUCUCUGUCUUUCUGUUCUUGAAUCAUUAAGCACUGUGUGGCCCUUGACAUCGGCCUGCACACUUUUCAUAGCCUCUGCGCACUACAGGCCAGGACACUUGACAUUGGCAUACAUUUUGCUUUUGUAAGAAGUGACAGAGCUGCCUGAAAGGGUAAAACGGCUCAGUCAAACCCAUUAGCAAAAAGCUGGAGAAUAAAGGUGUAUUCUGAA